rnacentral:rRNA from 1 species
UACGUAGGGGGCAAGCGUUGUCCGGAAUCAUUGGGCGUAAAGAGCGUGUAGGCGGCCAGACAGGUCAGCUGUGAAAACUCGAGGCUCAACCUCGAGACGUCGGUUGAAACCGUCUGGCUAGAGUCCGGAAGAGGAGAGUGGAAUUCCCGGUGUAGCGGUGAAAUGCGCAGAUAUCGGGAAGAACACCCGUGGCGAAGGCGGCUCUCUGGGACGGUACUGACGCUGAGACGCGAAAGCG